rnacentral:lncRNA from 1 species
GCCCAUCUGUAGAUCUAAUCACCCAAAGUGUCCACAUCCCACUCAAUCCUUUGGUGGGAGAUCCGUGAGCCACCGGCACUCUAGUGGUGACCAAUCAGAGGGGAACUGGGGGAGGGCACAGGAGGGGACUCCAAAGAGAGUGUAUUUAAAGGGGAACGACAGCUUCCUGACUUCAGUUCUAUCCAGAGUUCCUGUUCUUGGAGUGGAGCUAGUGGAGAACGCGCUGACUGACCCGGAGACCCUGUUCCUGGCCAGGCUCUUCUGAUAUCUCUUUGGACUGCGGCUGCGGUGAGUGAAAGGUUGGCUCUUAGCUGUUGGGUUUCUGAAAAGACUAGCCUCAGGAGGGACUGGCCCAGGCCAGUGGCCUGUAGGCGAGGCCUGAGGACUAAAGUCCCCGCCGGACUGAGCCGGACCGGGAGUAAAUGACUUCCUGCCUAGCCGCCCUCCGAGUUUCUUCCUUCACUCUUUCUACACUGACUUCCUGGAGACCCUGGUCUUAAAGCAUCCAGUGCGAUCUUUGGGAUAAAUCGGCCCAUUCCCCGCACGGUAUCAAUUAGGUAGGAGGUGACCCGGCGCUGAACGCUUGAGCCCUCUGGCGCAUCCGCCCACCAAGGUGUUGGCCCCGGGGCUGGGAGAGCCUCGACCCCCUGCCAGUCAGCUUGGAAUUCCGGAGUCGAGAACAGGUCAGGGAGAGAGCCUGGAGCGAAGCCUCCAGAGCGAUUUCUCGGUAGACAGCUUUCCUCAACGUCCCAGUCCACGAUGGGGAAGGGACGACUAUGUUGAGGUGGAAAGUACCGGGCUUAGCUUCCUGCGCGGACAUUCUCAGUGCCUACAAGAAAGAAAAGGAGGAGCCCCCCCAAACUCUUCAAGCAGUUGACCGAAGGUCCCUUGGGAGAUGUCUCUCUGCUCCUUGAAAAGUUAUUGGACCAGAAAUCCCAUGUGGAGCAAGUUGUCCAAAGUGAUAAAGAAACCGUCCUCCAGUACUUUAAGGAGCUUAACCGUAUCUUGGACCUGAAAAAAGAUGCUUUGCUCUCUGCCUUGGAUGAAGUUGGGAGGGCAAUUGAAGAAUACACUCCAUAAAUUGAUAGAAUGAAAGAAAGAGCAGAUGGAAUUAUAGUCAUUCACUGCCUUUUUGUGAGCAAGAAGUUUUGAGCUUUUAAUAAAAAUGGAAUAAUUAAUCA